CAGUCGCCGCGGUAAUACGGAGGGUGCAAGCGUUAAUCGGAAUUACUGGGCGUAAAGCGUGCGUAGGCGGCUCGUUAAGUCUGUUGUGAAAGCCCCGGGCUCAACCUGGGAAUGGCAAUGGAUACUGGCGAGCUAGCAGGUGAGAGAGGUAAGUGGAAUUCCGAGUGUAGAGGUGAAAUUCGUAGAUAUUCGGAAGAACACCAGUGGCGAAGGCGGCUUACUGGCUCAUACUGGACGCUGAGGUGCGAAAGCGUGUGGAGCAAACAGGAUUAGAUACCCGUGUAGUCCCUGUCUCUUAUAC
rnacentral:rRNA from 1 species